AUACGUAGGUGACAAGCGUUAUCCGGAUUUACUGGGCGUAAAGGGCGUGUAGGCGGUCUUGCAAGUCAGAAGUGAAAUUCCUGAGCUCAACUCGGGCGCUGCUUCUGAAACUGCAGGACUUGAGUGCUGGAGGGGAUAGCGGAAUUCCUAGUGGAGCGGUAAAAUGCGCAGAUAUUAGGAAGAACACCGGUGGCGAAGGCGGCUAUCUGGACAGUAACUGACGCUGAGGCGCGAAAGCGUGGGGAGCAAACAGGAUUAGAUACCCUGUUAGUCCACGCCGUAAACGAUGAAUACUAGGUGUAGGGGGUAUCGACUCCCUCUGUGCCGCAGUUAACACAAUAAGGAUUCCGCCUGGGGAGUACGGCCGCAAGGUUGAAACUCAAAUGAAUUGACGGGG
rnacentral:rRNA from 1 species